CAAACCUGAAAUCACUGCAGCUGGGUCAGGAGGUAGAGGCCCCCAGCGCAUCCCAGUCAGCACCGACCUACCUGCCAGAAUCCUUGGGCCUCCACCCACCCAGGACUACAAACUGAUAGAACUGGUCCUGAGCUGGACUUGACCCUGAGGUAUUCCCCUUAUUGCAGAUAGGGGAUUUCUGCACUGUGUGGGACUGGUGAGCAGGAGGCGAGGACCUUAAGGCUGCUUUGCAGGUCUCCUCGCUGGAUCUGGCAACCUUGAGAUCUCGGCUUCCCAGGUUAUCAACAACUCAGAGACUCCAAAACCUCCUGAAGAAGCUGCGAAAAAGCAAAGAAGACCUGCUGCAAGCAGUUAUGGAUCACUCUGUCACAGAGAAUCAAAAAGUGCAGGACUGGAGGGAAAGGGAAAGCAGGAUCCGCCAGAAAAACGCAGC